UACGUAGGGGGCGAGCGUUGUCCGGAUUUAUUGGGCGUAAAGAGCUCGUAGGCGGUUUGGUAAGUUGGAUGUGAAAUCUCCAGGCUCAACUUGGAGGGGUCAUUCGAUACUGCCAUGACUAGAGUUCGGUAGGGGAGUGUGGAAUUCCUGGUGGAGCGGUGAAAUGCGCAGAUAUCAGGAGGAACACCGAUGGCGAAGGCAGAUCUCUGGGCCGUAACUGACGCUGAGGAGCGAAAGCAUGGGGAGCGAACAGG
rnacentral:rRNA from 1 species